rnacentral:rRNA from 1 species
GACGAACGCUGGCGGCGUGCCUAAUACAUGCAAGUAGAACGCUGAAGGAGGAGCUUGCUUCUCUGGAUGAGUUGCGAACGGGUGAGUAACGCGUAGGUAACCUGCCUGGUAGCGGGGGAUAACUAUUGGAAACGAUAGCUAAUACCGCAUAAUAUUGACUAUUGCAUGAUAGUCAGUUGAAAGGUGCAACUGCACCACUACCAGAUGGACCUGCGUUGUAUUAGCUAGUUGGUGGGGUAACGGCUCACCAAGGCGACGAUACAUAGCCGACCUGAGAGGGUGAUAGGCCACACUGGGACUGAGACACGGCCCAGACUCCUACGGGAGGCAGCAGUAGGGAAUCUUCGGCAAUGGACGGAAGUCUGACCGAGCAACGCCGCGUGAGUGAAGAAGGUUUUCGGAUCGUAAAGCUCUGUUGUAAGAGAAGAACGAGUGUGAGAGUGGAAAGCUCACACUGUGACGGUAUCUUACCAGAAAGGGACGGCUAACUACGUG